GACAGCAGUAGCCGCGGUAGUACGAAGGGUGCAAGCGUUAAUCGGAAUUACUGGGCGUAAAGCGUGCGUAGGCGGUGAGUUAAGUCUGCUGUGAAAUCCCCGGGCUCAACCUGGGAAUGGCAGUGGAUACUGGCUCGCUAGAGUGUGUCAGAGGAUGGCGGAAUUCCCGGUGUAGCGGUGAAAUGCGUAGAGAUCGGGAGGAACAUCAGUGGCGAAGGCGGCCAUCUGGGACAACACUGACGCUGAGGCACGAAAGCGUGGGGAGCAAACAGGAUUAGAUACCCCAGUAGUCCCUGUCUCUUAUAC
rnacentral:rRNA from 1 species